CUGGACUUCAGACACAUGCUGCGGACGCACCCAUAGCCUGAUUCGCAGUAGGUGAGCGCAGCUGCUAGAGCCAGAGGCUUUUCUUGAGCAACAGCAGUCAAUUAUAUCAACUUAACGUGUGGUUUUGUAACAAACCCAAUGUGUUAUGCUGUUGGCUGAAGUUUCUUAUGUUUUGUCAUCUCUCAGGAAAUUGCUAAAAAAAGUACUGUUGGUCCGUUACUUUGUUUAAUGUGCUGAGUACACCUUUCUUUCCUUUAGUGCAAGAAGGGUAUUUUUUCUUGCAGGGAAACAAAAGUAAAAACACUAAGAAAGAAAAAACAUUUUUCCCUCAAGAAGAGAAAGUAACAGUUUGUGUCUCUUUAUGGAGUGAACCUGACUGACUGGUCCUGGAGGAAAGCUUGUGGAGUAGCUUUUCCAAGACAGUUAUUGAAAGGGAAGUGAAAUGCCACUGCAUUUGUGCAUCUAUGACUUUUGGUCUUAUCUACCUGAGACUGGCAAGGAAAAGUUGGCAGCCCGAAUCUCGUGCAAAAGUAGCACAGUUAUCUGAAGACCUUUUCUGAUUUUGCACAUGCUGGAAGCUUUUAUCUGGCAAUAAUGUUGUACCUGCUACUCAUGUACAUACGGCUUCGUACUCACUUGAAACAUAGAUAAACCUGAGUUCCGUUGGUACCAGCAGGAUGGAGCAGGCGAUCAGACUUUAUUUAACCACUGAGUUGGUUGUCCUUGUGUGGUGGUUCUUGGACAAAACAUCCUAAAGAACUUUGCAAAGGAAAGAUAGUGCAGCCAAGUCCAGGAGGUGGGUCUGAAACUCUAUUUUAAAUGAUGUUACUGAUAUGACAACUGUAACUUGAGUUGUGAAGACUUUGACUUGGGAGGAAUUGACUUAAAGUAUAUGAUUUACAGCUAGGGUUCACAGAAGAGCUUCUGUAAGGAGUCUGGUAGAGAUGGGAA
rnacentral:lncRNA from 1 species